AUUUGCUCUAAUUAUUCGUAAAUGUAAAAUUGAAAAAUUAAAUGGCUACAGAAUUGGACUCGGAAUUGGAACAGGUAAUGCUUCUUCAUUAAUGUUUUUAGAAGGACACUUCUUACUUGUCUAAGUCUUGCAGUGGCAAUUAUUGAGUUUGCAGUUUUAAUUCAUUGUUGAUGAAUAUUGGCAAUCAUGAGUCACCUUAUUAAAUGUUUAUUUUCUGUUUUAUAAUAAUUAUUAUUUGUAAUUACUCUAU